AGGAGAUUCCAAAUGUUAGGCCACCUGGCUCUCUGACCCCACGAGGAUGGCAACUCCUUUCCUUCCAGUUUCCAGGAACUUGCGUUGCCUGUAAAAGAAGUUUUUGUCUCUGUCGCUCCUUCUGGAGGAGAAAGAUUAAUCCCCAUGAUAGAUGUGGCCGGAGUCAACACGUGAAUGGGAAAACUUGAAAUCGGCCAGAGUAUUGUUCCAUAAUGGGAUGCACAACAGAAAGAUGUCACACACCAAGACAUAAGACGACGGUGUCCAAAAAAAAAGUGUCAUGUGUGAAUGAAUCAUGGGGGCCAUCGAUGGGCAGCAC